rnacentral:rRNA from 1 species
GAUGAACGCUGGCGGCGUGCCUAAUACAUGCGAGUCGAGCGAACGGACGAGAAGCUUGCUUCUCUGAUGUUAGCGGCGGACGGGUGAGUAACACGUGUAUAACCUACCUAUAAGACUGGGAUAACUUCGGGAAACCGGAGCUAAUACCGGAUAAUAUUUUGAACCGCAUGGUUCAAAAGUGAAAGACGGUCUUGCUGUCACUUAUAGAUGGAUCCGCGCUGCAUUAGCUAGUUGGUAAGGUAACGGCUUACCAAGGCAACGAUGCAUAGCCGACCUGAGAGGGUGAUCGGCCACACUGGAACUGAGACACGGUCCAGACUCCUACGGGAGGCAGCAGUAGGGAAUCUUCCGCAAUGGGCGAAAGCCUGACGGAGCAACGCCGCGUGAGUGAUGAAGGUCUUCGGAUCGUAAAACUCUGUUAUUAGGGAAGAACAUAUGUGUAAGUAACUGUGCACAUCUUGACGGUACCUAAUCAGAAAGCCACGGCUAACUACGUG